UACGUAGGGUGCAAGCGUUAAUCGGAAUUACUGGGCGUAAAGCGUGCGCAGGCGGCUUUGCAAGACAGAUGUGAAAUCCCCCGGCUCAACUGGGGAACUGGCGCGGGAAACUGUGGGGCUUGAGUUCGGGAGAGGGAAGCGGAAUUCCGGGUGUAGCGGUGAAAUGCGUAGAGAUCGGCAGGAACACCCAGGGGGAAACCAGGCCGACUGGGCAUCGUACUGACGCUGAGGUGCGAGAGCGUGGGUAGCGACAGGG
rnacentral:rRNA from 1 species